rnacentral:rRNA from 1 species
GACGAACGCUGGCGGCGUGCUUAACACAUGCAUGUCGAACGAAGUGGCGAACGGGUGAGUAACGCGUAAUCAACCUGCCCUUCAGAGGGGGACAACAGCUGGAAACGACUGCUAAUAACGCAUACUGAAGGAGGGGAUUGCGUCUGAUUAGCUAGUUGGCGGGGUAACGGCCCACCAAGGCGAUGAUCAGUAGCCGGUCUUAGAGGAGGAACGGCCACAUUGGGACUGGUACACGGCCCAGACUCCUACGGGAGGCCGCAGUGGGGAAUCUUCCGCAAUGGAGGAAAGUCUGACGGGGCAGCGCCGCGAGAGAGAUGACGGCCUUCGGGUUGUAAAGCUCUGUUAAUCGGGACGCGGUACCGGAAUAGAAAGCCACGGCUAACUACAUGCCAGCAGCCGCGGUAAUAC